CCAAUAGCGUAUAUUAAAGUUGUUGCAGUUAAAAAGCUCGUAGUUGAAUUUCGAGAUCAAUAUGUUGGUCGUGCCUCGGUACGUACUUGCAUCAUUGAUUUCUCCCUUCUGAUGAACCAUGAUGCCAUUAAUUUGGUGUUAUGGGGAAUCAGGACUGUUACUUUGAAAAAAUUAGAGUGUUUAAAGCAGGCUCACGCUUGAAUACAUUAGCAUGGAAUAAUGAAAUAGGACGUUUGAUUCUAUUUUGUUGGUUUCUAGGAUCGACGUAAUGAUUAAUAGGGAUAGUUGGGGACAUUAGUAUUCAAUUGUCAGAGGUGAAAUUCUUGGAUUUAUUGAAGACUAACUACUGCGAAAGCAUUUGCCAAGGAUGUUUUCAUUAAUCAAGAACGAAAGUUAGGGGAUCGAAGACGAUCAGAUACCGUCGUAGUCUUAACCAUAAACUAUGCCGACUAGGGAUCGGAUGAUGUUAAUUUCUUGCGGGCAGCCUUCG
rnacentral:rRNA from 1 species